AAUUCUGUAGCUUAAUGGUUGUAGCAGGGGAUUCAUAAGCCCAAGGUUGUAGGUUCGAAUCCUAUCAGAAUUA
rnacentral:tRNA from 1 species